AUUGAACGCUGGCGGAAUGCUUUACACAUGCAAGUCGAACGGCAGCACGGACUUCGGUCUGGUGGCGAGUGGCGAACGGGUGAGUAAUACAUCGGAACGUGCCCAGUCGUGGGGGAUAACGUAGCGAAAGCUACGCUAAUACCGCAUACGAUCUAAGGAUGAAAGCGGGGGAUCGCAAGACCUCGCGCGAUUGGAGCGGCCGAUGGCAGAUUAGGUAGUUGGUGGGGUAAAGGCCCACCAAGCCGAACAUCUGGAGCUGGUCUGAGAGGACGAACAGCCACACGGGGACUGCGACACGGCCCAGACUCCUACGGGAGGCAGCAGUGGGGAAUUUUGGACAAUGGGCGCAAGCCUGAUCCAGCCAUUCCGCGUGCAGGAUGAAGGCCCUCGGGUUGUAAACUGCUUUUGUACGGAACGAAAAGGCUCUGGUUAAUACCCGGGGCUCAUGACGGUACCGUAAGAAUAAGCACCGGCUAACUACGUGCCAGCCGCCGCAGUAA
rnacentral:rRNA from 1 species